rnacentral:rRNA from 1 species
GACGAACGCUGGCGGCGUGCUUAACACAUGCAAGUCGAACGGAAAGGCGCUGCUUUUGUGGGGUGCUCGAUUGGCGAACGGGUGAGUAACACGUGAGUAACCUGCCCUUGACUUUGUGAUAACUUCAGGAAACUGGGGCUAAUACCGGAUAGGAUCUCCUGCUGCAUGGUGUUGGUUGGAAAGUUUCGGCGGUUGGGGAUGGACUCGCGGCUUAUCAGCUUGUUGGUGGGGUAGUGGCUUACCAAGGCUUUGACGGGUAGCCGGCUUGAGAGGGUGCACGGCCCAGUUGGGAAUGAGAUGCGGCAGAGACGACUACGGGAGGAAGCAGUGGAGAAUAAUGGAGCAUGGGCGGAAGAGUGAUGAAGCACCGCCGAGUGUGGGAUGACGGCAUUAGGGAUGUAAAAAGCUUUAGGUUGUGACGAAGGGUGAGUGACGGUCAUGGGUAAAGAAGAACCGGAUAAAUACG